CGCUGACGCUGGCGGGGCGUGUAAUACAUGCAUGUCGAGCGGACAGAAGGGAGCUUGCUCCCGGAUGUUAGCGGCGGACGGGUGAGUAACACGUGGGUAACCUGCCUGUAAGACUGGGAUAACUCCGGGAAACCGGAGCUAAUACCGGAUAGUUCCUUGAACCGCAUGGUUCAAGGAUGAAAGACGGUUUCGGCUGUCACUUACAGAUGGACCCGCGGCGCAUUAGCUAGUUGGUGGGGUAAUGGCUCACCAAGGCGACGAUGCGUAGCCGACCUGAGAGGGUGAUCGGCCACACUGGGACUGAGACACGGCCCAGACUCCUACGGGAGGCAGCAGUAGGGAAUCUUCCGCAAUGGACGAAAGUCUGACGGAGCAACGCCGCGUGAGUGAUGAAGGUUUUCGGAUCGUAAAGCUCUGUUGUUAGGGAAGAACAAGUGCGAGAGUAACUGCUCGCACCUUGACGGUACCUAACCAGAAAGCCACGGCUAACUACGUGCCAGCAGCCGCGGUAAUACGUAGGUGGCAAGCGUUGUCCGGAAUUAUUGGGCGUAAAGGGCUCGCAGGCGGUUUCUUAAGUCUGAUGUGAAAGCCCCGGCUCAA
rnacentral:rRNA from 1 species